rnacentral:rRNA from 1 species
AGACCCGAAACCCGGUGAUCUAGCCAUGGGCAGGUUGAAGGUUGGGUAACACUAACUGGAGGACCGAACCGACUAAUGUUGAAAAAUUAGCGGAUGACCUGUGGCUGGGGGUGAAAGGCCAAUCAAACCGGGAGAUAGCUGGUUCUCCCCGAAAGCUAUUUAGGUAGCGCCUCGUGAAUUCAUCUCCGGGGGUAGAGCACUGUUUCGGCUAGGGGGCCAUCCCGGCUUACCAACCCGAUGCAAACUGCGAAUACCGGAGAAUGUUAUCACGGGAGACACACGGCGGGUGCUAACGUCCGUCGUGAAGAGGGAAACAACCCAGACCGCCAGCUAAGGUCCCAAAGUCAUGGUUAAGUGGGAAACGAUGUGGGAAGGCCCAGACAGCCAGGAUGUUGGCUUAGAAGCAGCCAUCAUUUAAAGAAAGCGUAAUAGCUCACUGGUCGAGUCGGCCUGCGCGGAAGAUGUAACGGGGCUAAACCAUGCACCGAAGCUGCGGCAGCGAACGUAUCACCCAAGACAACUUUGCGGAGUUGACGAUUGACGGAGCGAAGCGACGUCAAAGCGUUCAUUAAAGUCGAGUUGGCUUAGGGAUACGUUCGUUGGGUAGGGGAGCGUUCUGUAAGCC